rnacentral:rRNA from 1 species
UACGGAGGGGGCUAGCGUUGUUCGGAAUUACUGGGCGUAAAGCGCGCGUAGGCGGAUCUGCAAGUCGGGGGUGAAAUCCCGAGGCUCAACCUCGGAACUGCCUUCGAUACUGCGGGUCUCGAGUCCGGGAGAGGUGAGUGGAAUUCCUAGUGUAGAGGUGAAAUUCGUAGAUAUUAGGAGGAACACCGGUGGCGAAGGCGGAUCUCUGGGCCUUACCUGACGCUGAGGCGCGAAAGCCAGGGGAGCAAACGGG